rnacentral:rRNA from 1 species
GACGAACGCUGGCGGCGUGCUUAACACAUGCAAGUCGAGCGGUAAGGCCCUUUCGGGGGUACGACGAGCGGCGAACGGGUGAGUAACACGUGGGUGACCUGCCCUCAGCUCUGGGAUAAGCCUGGGAAACCGGGUCUAAUACUGGAUAUGACUCCAUGACGCAUGUUGUGGGGUGGAAAGCCUUGUGCGGCUGAGGAUGGGCCCGCGGCCUAUCAGCUUGUUGGUGGGGUGANGGCCUACCAAGGCGACGACGGGUAGCCGGCCUGAGAGGGCGACCGGCCACACUGGGACUGAGACACGGCCCAGACUCCUACGGGAGGCAGCAGUGGGGAAUCUUGCGCAAUGGGCGAAAGCCUGACGCAGCGACGCCGCGUGAGGGAUGACGGCCUGGUGUAAC